UAUCACACUUUCUCUGUAGUCUACUGUUAGCUAGCUACCGUAAAUGUAGGCUACUUUUAAAAUGCCGUAUUUUCCAUCUGGGCUCACCAAAACGGAUGUAAAAGCAUAUUACAGCUACCACAUCUGUAAAAGAGCCUUUCUUUGAGGUCAUUUUUCAGUUUUUCCAAGAAUCGGUUUAGGAAUUGGAAUCGUUUUAAAAGUACUGGUUCGGCAUCAGAAUCGUAAAAAUCAAAAACGAUACCCAACCCUAAAAAUGACAUUUA